rnacentral:rRNA from 1 species
GACGAACGCUGGCGGCGUGCUUAACACAUGCAAGUCGAACGGAAAGGCCCUGCUUUUGUGGGGUGCUCGAGUGGCGAACGGGUGAGUAACACGUGAGUAACCUGCCCUUGACUUUGGGAUAACUUCAGGAAACUGGGGCUAAUACCGGAUAGGAGCUCCUGCUGCAUGGUGGGGGUUGGAAAGUUUCGGCGGUUGGGGAUGGACUCGCGGCUUAUCAGCUUGUUGGUGGGGUAGUGGCGUACCAAGGCUUUGACGGGUAGCCGGCCUGAGAGGGUGACCGGCCACAUUGGGACUGAGAUACGGCCCAGACUCCUACGGGAGGCAGCAGUGGGGAAUAUUGCACAAUGGGCGGAAGCCUGAUGCAGCAACGCCGCGUGCGGGAUGACGGCCUUCGGGUUGUAAACCGCUUUCGCCUGUGACGAAGCGUGAGUGACGGUAAUGAGUAAAGAAGCACCGGCUAACUACGUG